GACGGGGGGCGCAAGCGUUGUUCGGAAUUACUGGGCGUAAAGCGCACGCAGGUGGCUCUUUAAGUCCACUGUGAAACUCCGGGGCGCAACUCCGGACAUGCAGUGGAUACUGGAGGGCUGGAGACCGGUAGAGGCUAGCGGAAUUCCAGGUGUAGCGGUGGAAUGCGUAGAUAUCUGGAAGAACAUCAGUGGCGAAGGCGGCUAGCUGGGCCUGUUCUGCCACUCAUGUGCGAAAGCGUGGGGAGCAAACAGG
rnacentral:rRNA from 1 species